rnacentral:rRNA from 1 species
GAUGAACGCUGGCGGCGUGCCUAAUACAUGCAAGUCGAGCGAACAGACGAGGAGCUUGCUCCUCUGACGUUAGCGGCGGACGGGUGAGUAACACGUGGAUAACCUACCUAUAAGACUGGGAUAACUUCGGGAAACCGGAGCUAAUACCGGAUAAUAUAUUGAACCGCAUGGUUCAAUAGUGAAAGACGGUUUUGCUGUCACUUAUAGAUGGAUCCGCGCCGCAUUAGCUAGUUGGUAAGGUAACGGCUUACCAAGGCAACGAGGCGUAGCCGACCUGAGAGGGUGAUCGGCCACACUGGAACUGAGACACGGUCCAGACUCCUACGGGAGGCAGCAGUAGGGAAUCUUCCGCAAUGGGCGAAGGCCUGACGGAGCAACGCCGCGUGAGUGAUGAAGGUCUUCGGAUCGUAAAACUCUGUUAUUAGGGAAGAACAAAUGUGUAAGUAACUAUGCACGUCUUGACGGUACCUAAUCAGAAAGCCACGGCUAACUACGUG